rnacentral:piRNA from 1 species
UGAAAGCCCAGCCUUUCUUGUGAC